rnacentral:lncRNA from 1 species
AGAGAAGUCAAUAAUAAAGGCUUUGGGAAUCCACCUGCUGGAAACUUCCUGUGGAUGGAGACAUGCAAGCUUCUUGCAGGAAGGCAGGCCUGGAAGGACAGGUUAGACUUACGGGAGGACUACAGAGAGCACUUCAGGCAGGUGUGGAGCUUCCUUGUGGAAUGAGAGGGAGCAUGUUAGCUGGAGGGGAGGACCAGGGAGCUGUCAUCGGCGGAUGUCAUUGCUGAGUCAAAUAAAGUCUAAAGUAGGAUUUUCACAGACUUACAGAAACCCUGUGUAUUGCAAACAUACCCGCCACGGUGUUAGAGAGAUGUGACAAGGACUCUGAUCUGACUCCUGUGACUUGCCAGCUUAGUAUGGAGUAACGGGGGGGCAUUGUGCUCGGGGGAGGCUACGGUAUCUGUGUUCAGCCCAAUCCUCUUAGGUCUCUCCUUGCACAGUUGGAACCAAGAUAAGGGCGAACUUUAAAGAGUGCCUCACUCUCUCUCCCUUCAAGCUCAGCUCGGAUUAUUUCUUUCUUUUCCUCUCUCCAUUCUCUUCCCUUUCCUGCUCGCGGCCAGAUGUCGAGGAGAAAUCCCUUCCCACUAUGUCCCUAAGUGCCAGCUCUCCCCUAAAAGUUCCAGCUCAUCUCGCCUGGCCUCCCCCUGAGUCAGUGGGACUCCCAGCCACUGCCACCACAGCUGAAAUUCUCAUGCAGCAUCUUCACAGGCACCCUGGGCCCCAAGCAUGACUCAUCCAGGUUCCAGAGCCAAAGUGGACUGAACAUGGAAAGACUUUUAUUAUAGAAAUGACAAGAUGCUUUGCACGGUGGAGAGCUGAAUUUACUUGGCUCGCAUUAGAAACUCUUUCAGCUUAAGUACUUACUGUGGUAGUGAGUCCUACGGCAUUUCAGUAAAAAGGAAUUCAUGGCAUAAAUGUGGACAGAUUUACGGAUGCAGAAACAUGAUGAUAGAUAUCAUGAGGUUGGUGAUGGGACAUAUGAUGGC